rnacentral:lncRNA from 1 species
GUGGUGAGAUUUUCUGGUGUAGUAAAUGUGUAAGGUACCGAACUUCUGUUGUAAGGUACCGAACUUCUAAAAUUAUGCAGUUACGGUGGAUGUAGUAUGCUGGAUUUUAAAUAUAAAAAUAAAUAUAAAUAAAAAUAGUGUGAAAUACUAUUUUAUUGGACUUAUAGACAUAAAAUAUAAGUCUGGAAUGACCCGUGUUGAAAUCGGAGCGAAAACAGAAGAUUUAAAAUUUUCUGUGUGAAACGGGGCAGAUAAAUUAGCAGAAAAUGCAUAAUGUUAGAAAAUUCUGAAAACUGGAGGAUAAGCUAGAAUUA